rnacentral:rRNA from 1 species
GGAUCCUGGCUCAGGAUGAACGCUAGCUACAGGCUUAACACAUGCAAGUCGAGGGGAAACGACAUCGAAAGCUUGCCUUUGAUGGGCGUCGACCGGCGCACGGGUGAGUAACGCGUAUCCAACCUGCCCACCACUUGGGGAUAACCUUGCGAAAGUAAGACUAAUACCCAAUGACAUCCCACGAAGACAUCUGAAUGGGAUUAAAGAUUUAUCGGUGAUGGAUGGGGAUGCGUCUGAUUAG